rnacentral:rRNA from 1 species
ACAGCAGCCGCCGCGGUAAUACGAAGGGUGCAAGCGUUAAUCGGAAUUACUGGGCGUAAAGCGUGCGUAGGCGGUGAGUUAAGUCUGCUGCGAAAUCCCCGGGCUCAACCUGGGAAUGGCAGUGGAUACUGGCUCGCUAGAGUGUGUCAGAGGAUGGUGGAAUUCCAGGUGUAGCGGUGAAAUGCGUAGAGAUCGGGAGGAACAUCAGUGGCGAAGGCGGCCAUCUGGGACAACACUGACGCUGAGGCACAAAAGCGUGGGGAGCAAACAGGAUUAGAUACCCCAGUAGUCCCUGUCUCUUAUAC